rnacentral:rRNA from 1 species
CAGCCGCCGCGGGAAAACGAAGGGGGCUAGCGUUGUUCGGGUUUACUGGGCGUAAAGGGUGCGUAGGCGGACUGAUAAGUCAGGGGUGAAAUCCCAAGGCUCAACCUUGGAACUGCCUUUGAUACUGUUAGUCUUGAGUUCGAGAGAGGUGAGUGGAACUGCGAGUGUAGAGGUGAAAUUCGUAGAUAUUCGCAAGAACACCAGUGGCGAAGGCGGCUCACUGGCUCGAAACUGACGCUGAGGCACGAAAGCGUGGGGAGCAAACAGGAUUAGAUACCCCCGUAGUCCCUGUCUCUUAUAC